rnacentral:rRNA from 1 species
GACGUAGGGGGCCAGCGUUGUUCGGAAUUACUGGGUGUAAAGGGUUCGUAGGCGGUGUGGCCAGUCGGGAGUGAAAUCUCUGGGCUCAACCCAGAGACUGCUUCCGAAACUGCUGUGCUUGAGUGUGAGAGAGGCUCGUGGAAUUGCAGGUGUAGCGGUGAAAUGCGUAGAUAUCUGCAGGAACACCCGUGGCGAAAGCGGCGAGCUGGAUCACUACUGACGCUGAGGAACGAAAGCUAGGGGAGCAAACAGG